GGGCAAGGCCACCCUCCCAGACGCCUGGCAGCCGGAAGAACCGCACGAACGCCUUCCGCAGAGCUGGUCCUCGGGAGCCCUCCAGCCCACCCAGGUCUUUCCUAGCCCCAAAUCCUUCCCAGGGACGUCCUCGGGACAGGCAAACCUGCUGUAACAUUCAGCUGAUAUAGGAGGUGGAACCCUCCUACAGUCACAGAGACAGAAAGUGCCCCGAGGGCGUCGCUCUGGUCCUGGCGGAGAUGGUCUCUGAUGGUCUGCCUUGAUGACUUAUGGGGACACCUGUCGGGGGUUCUGCUAGAAAGAAAGAUGCAGAGCGCCCCUCACGCACGCAAACUCUAGCUCUCACACCCAGACGUGCUCCAAACAUUCCAAAGGGGCCAAAAACGACGUCUGGCUUUUCCGCGGCGCCUCCUGGCCCUGGCGGUGACUCCGAGGUGGCGCUUUCAGGGUGGGCGCGAGGGAGAGGAAAGCCUCUGGCAUCCUCACCCCCGGGGCCAGAGGGACAGCGGGUGCCCUCCGCCCCGAGUCACCUGCGUCUUGAAUUCUGUCCCUCCAAGGAGAGGGCAAUGCCUGAGCCCACGGAAGUUGGGUCAGGGGCAGCAUUGGAAGUCAGAGCCUGCAAUGCUCACGUAAAUGCAAAAGAUGGUUCCUUCAGUGCCAGUAAGAAGGCUGUCUUGAACAUGAGGAAUACAGCAGCAAGCAAGACAGAGAGGUGCCUGCUUUCUGGGGAGACAACAAACAGAUAAAUAAGCACAACACUGUCCUGCCAAGCUAAGUGACAUCAAUGAAACAAGGCAAGGUAAUAAGAAGAGGCUGGGAAAAGGCUUAGCUGUGAUUUUGCUUUCUGCAGUUUGAGUUGCCUAUGUUCAACAGAGGUUCAAAAAUAUUAAAUGGAACAUUUCAGAAAUAAACAAUCCUAAGUUUAAAUUGCAUGCCAUUCUGAGCAGCGUGAUGAUAUCUUGCGCCAUCUCUCCCAGUCCUGCCCCGGAGAUGAAUCAUCCCUUUGUCCAGCGUGUCCACACGGUACAUGCUCCAGGCCCGUUAGUUACUUAGUAGCCAUCUCAGUUUUUCGGAUGACGUCGAGGUAUGGCAGGGUUUGUGUUCAAAGUCACCCUUGUUUUACUUAACAAUAGCUUCAAAGCACAAGCAUAGUGAUGCUGGCAAUUUGGAUAUGCCAAAGAGAAGCUACAAGGUGCUUUAAGGGGAAAAGUGAAAGUUGUGGACUUAAUCAGCAACCUUAGCUGAGGUUGCUAAGAUCUGUGAUAACAAGGAAGCUUUGAUUCAUGAAAUUCUGGAGAUGGAAAAAAGAAAUAUAUGCUAGUUUUGCUGUCACACCUCGGACUGCAAAGUAAUGGCCAUGGUGCAUGAUAAGAGCUUAGUUAAGAUGGAAAAGGCAUUAACUCUGUGGAUAAAAACAUGAAGAGACAUGUGUUCUGAUUGAUGGCAAUAAGGAUCAGUAUUAUCCGUGGUCCCAGGCAUGCACUGGAGGUGUUGGAAUGUAUCCCCCAUGGAUAAGGGGAGACUAUCGUAUCCUUGAUUGGGGCAUUGCUACAUGGAUGUAUACGUUUGGCCAAACUCUCCAAACUGAACACUUAAGAUAGGUGUGUUUCAUUGUACGCACAUUUUUCAACAAAAAUCUUUUCUAUAUAAGAAGAAGAAUAGCUGGGAAAGGAAGACAUUAACUAGGGUGAUCAGGAUGGUCUCUUUGCAAAGGGGACAUUUGAGCUGAGACCUGAAAAGUGAGAAUGAACUAGAAGGAGUUAGCCAUGCCAGGAUCUUGUCUCUUCCUGCCAAGAUGCUGCAGGCAGAGGAAACGCUGCAUUGGAAGGGCCCCCGGUACCUUGGAGUUGACAGCCAUGUGCUCAGAGGAGAAUGAAGCAAACCAACCAAAAGCCAACCCCAAACACCCAAUGGCCUGAGCUCCUCAGAGCAAGAAAAGUCAAGUUGAAUAUCUCAGAUGGGGCCGUCAGAGAAUGGAGAUGACCUCAUCCACAGUGGGACAAGUUGGAGCAAAUCACUUGGAUGGAAAGCAAGGAAAUAGAGGGGCAAUUUCAGCAUGUCCCUCAGGCUUCCACAGAGGAAGGUUUGGCCUUCCAAAUUCCCAAAGGGCUUCUCUCCUGGGACGCACUGUCUCUGCAGAGGUGAAAACACUCUUUCUUGUCUCUCUCUGCCUGGGAUCUUAAUUGUUUCCAGUGUCAAAUGAAGGACUGAGGAAAGAACCAAAGCUUCCCCAGUUCACUAACUGCUCUGGGAUUUACCCAGAAUUUUGACAGCAUUGAGAUUUGGAGUUGGCUUAGAAGAAGAGAAGAAGGGAAGUGGAGGUGCUGAGAGCUGGUCUGGAGUUAGCCCUGCUUCAGCCACAUUCACUUCCCUUUGUCUCUCAUGACCGGGCAAUGCAGUAGGCUUCCCAUGUUGUGUAUCUUCUUGUCUAUUAAACAGGGUUAUCCAGCUGAUUGAGGGCAUUUCUUUUUUUUUUU
rnacentral:lncRNA from 1 species